rnacentral:rRNA from 1 species
GAUGAACGCUGGCGGCGUGCCUAAUACAUGCAAGUCGAGCGAACGGACGAGAAGCUUGCUUCUCUGAUGUUAGCGGCGGACGGGUGAGUAACACGUGGAUAACCUACCUAUAAGACUGGGAUAACUUCGGGAAACCGUAGCUAAUACCGGAUAAUAUUUUGAACCGCAUGGUUCAAAAGUGAAAGACGGUCUUGCUGUCACUUAUAGAUGGAUCCGCGCUGCAUUAGCUAGUUGGUAAGGUAACGGCUUACCAAGGCAACGAUGCAUAGCCGACCUGAGAGGGUGUUCGGCCCCACUGGACCUGAGACCCGGUCCAGACUCCUACGGGAGGCAGCAGUGGGGAUUCUUCCGCAAUGGGCGAAAGCCUGCCGGAGCAACGCCGCGUGAGUGAUGAAGGUCUCGGAUCGUAAAACUCUGUUAUUAGGGAAGAACAUAUGUGUAAGUAACUGUGCACAUCUUGACGGUACCUAAUCAGAAAGCCACGGCUAACUACGUG